ACACUCCUACGGGAGGCAGCAGUGGGGAAUUUUGGACAAUGGGCGAAAGCCUGAUCCAGCCAUGCCGCGUGCAGGAUGAAGGCCUUCGGGUUGUAAACUGCUUUUGUACGGAACGAAACGGCCUUUUCUAAUAAAGAGGGCUAAUGACGGUACCGUAAGAAUAAGCACCGGCUAACUACGUGCCAGCAGCCGCGGUAAUACGUAGGGUGCAAGCGUUAAUCGGAAUUACUGGGCGUAAAGCGUGCGCAGGCGGUUAUGUAAGACAGUUGUGAAAUCCCCGGGCUCAACCUGGGAACUGCAUCUGUGACUGCAUAGCUAGAGUACGGUAGAGGGGGAUGGAAUUCCGCGUGUAGCAGUGAAAUGCGUAGAUAUGCGGAGGAACACCGAUGGCGAAGGCAAUCCCCUGGACCUGUACUGACGCUCAUGCACGAAAGCGUGGGGAGCAAACAGGAUUAGAUACCCGAGUAGUCCCA
rnacentral:rRNA from 1 species